GAUGAACGCUAGCGACAGGCUUAACACAUGCAAGUCGAGGGGCAGCAUGAGGUAGCAAUACCUUGAUGGCGACCGGCGCACGGGUGAGUAACGCGUAUGCAACCUGCCCGAUACCGGGGUAUAGCCCAUGGAAACGUGGAUUAACACCCCAUAGUACUUUUAUCCUGCAUGGGAUGUGAGUUAAAUGUUCAAGGUAUCGGAUGGGCAUGCGUCCUAUUAGUUAGUUGGCGGGGUAACAGCCCACCAGGACGAUGAUAGGUAGGGGUUCUGAGAGGAAGGUCCCCCACAUUGGAACUGAGACACGGUCCAAACUCCUACGGGAGGCAGCAGUGAGGAAUAUUGGUCAAUGGACGUAAGUCUGAACCAGCCAAGUCGCGUGAGGGAAGACUGCCCUAUGGGUUGUAAACCUCUUUUAUAAGGGAAGAAUAAGUUCUACGUGUAGAAUGAUGCCUGUACCUUAUGAAUAAGCAUCGGCUAACUCCGUGCCAGCCGCCGCAGUAA
rnacentral:rRNA from 1 species